rnacentral:rRNA from 1 species
UACGGGGGGGGCAAGCGUUGUUCGGAAUUACUGGGCGUAAAGGGCGCGUAGGCGGCCUUCUAAGUCGAACGUGAAAUCCCUGGGCUCAACCCAGGAACUGCGUCCGAUACUGGAAGGCUUGAAUCCGGGAGAGGGAUGCGGAAUUCCAGGUGUAGCGGUGAAAUGCGUAGAUAUCAGGAGGAACACCGGUGGCGAAGGCGGGUCUCUGGGCCGAUACUGACGCUGAGGAGCGAAAGCGUGGGGAGCGAACAGG